rnacentral:rRNA from 1 species
GUAUAAGAGACAGCAGUAGCCGCGGGAAAACGGAGGGUGCAAGCGUUACUCGGAAUCACUGGGCGUAAAGGACGCGUAGGCGGAUUAUCAAGUCUCUUGUGAAAUCUAACGGCUUAACCGUUAAACUGCUUGGGAAACUGAUAAUCUAGAGUAAGGGAGAGGCAGAUGGAAUUCUUGGUGUAGGGGUAAAAUCCGUAGAGAUCAAGAGGAAUACCCAUUGCGAAAGCGAUCUGCUGGAACUUAACUGACGCUAAUGCGUGAAAGCGUGGGGAGCAAACAGGAUUAGAUACCCCAGUAGUCCCUGUCUCUUAUAC